UACAGAGGUCUCAAGCGUUGUUCGGAUUCAUUGGGCGUAAAGGGUGCGUAGGCGGUGGGGCAAGUCAGGUGUGAAAUCCCGGAGCUCAACUCCGGAACUGCACUUGAUACUGCCUUGCUAGAGUACUGGAGAGGAGACUGGAAUUUACGGUGUAGCAGUGAAAUGCGUAGAGAUCGUAAGGAAGACCAGUGGCGAAGGCGAGUCUCUGGACAGUUACUGACGCUGAGGCACGAAGGCCAGGGGAGCGAACGGG
rnacentral:rRNA from 1 species